UACGUAGGGUGCGAGCGUUAAUCGGAAUUACUGGGCGUAAAGCGUGCGCAGGCGGUUUUGUAAGUCAGAUGUGAAAUCCCCGGGCUUAACCUGGGAAUGGCAUUUGGGACUGCAAGGCUCGAGUGCGGGAGAGGAGACUGGAAUUCCUGGUGUAGCAGUGAAAUGCGUAGAUAUCAGGAGGAACACCGAUGGCGAAGGCAGGUCUCUGGGCUGACACUGACGCUCAUGCACGAAAGCGUGGGGAGCAAACAGG
rnacentral:rRNA from 1 species